GUUUUGACAGAACACAUACUACAAUUGGAACGAUAUAGAGAAGAUGAUCAUGAUCCCUGCGCAAGAAUGACAUGCAAAAUCGUGAAGCUUGGCAGGCGACAUUU